GACGAACGCUGGCGGCGUGCCUAAUACAUGCAAGUUGAGCGCUGAAGGUUGGUACUUGUACCGACUGGAUGAGCAGCGAACGGGUGAGUAACGCGUGGGGAAUCUGCCUUUGAGCGGGGGACAACAUUUGGAAACGAAUGCUAAUACCGCAUAAAAACUUUAAACACAAGUUUUAAGUUUGAAAGAUGCAAUUGCAUCACUCAAAGAUGAUCCCGCGUUGUAUUAGCUAAUUGGUGAGGUAAAGGCUCACCAAGGCGAUGAUACAUAGCCGACCUGAGAGGGUGAUCGGCCACAUUGGGACUGAGACACGGCCCAAACUCCUACGGGAGGCAGCAGUAGGGAAUCUUCGGCAAUGGACGAAAGUCUGACCGAGCAACGCCGCGUGAGUGAAGAAGGGUUUCGGAUCGUAAAACUCUGUUGGUAGAGAAGAACGUUGGUGAGAGUGGAAAGCUCAUCAAGUGACGGUAACUACCCAGAAAGGGACGGCUAACUACGUG
rnacentral:rRNA from 1 species